UACGUAGGCGGCGAGCGUUGUUCGGAGUUACUGGGCGUAAAGCGUGCGUAGGCGGUGUCUUAAGUUUGUUGUGAAAUCUCCCGGCUUAACCGGGAGGGUGCGGCGAAUACUGAGAUGCCGGAGUGCCGGAGAGGUAAGCGGAAUUCCUGGUGUAGCGGUGAAAUGCGUAGAUAUCAGGAGGAACACCUGCGGUGUAGACGGCUUACUGGACGGUAACUGACGCUGAGGCACGAAAGCGUGGGUAGCAAACAGG
rnacentral:rRNA from 1 species